rnacentral:rRNA from 1 species
UACGGAGGGAGCUAGCGUUGUUCGGAAUUACUGGGCGUAAAGCGCACGUAGGCGGCUUUGUAAGUUAGAGGUGAAAGCCUGGAGCUCAACUCCAGAAUUGCCUUUAAGACUGCAUCGCUCGAAUCCGGGAGAGGUGAGUGGAAUUCCGAGUGUAGAGGUGAAAUUCGUAGAUAUUCGGAAGAACACCAGUGGCGAAGGCGGCUCACUGGACGACUGUUGACGCUGAGGUGCGAAAGCAUGGGGAGCGAACAGG